UGAAUACGAGACGCUAAGGCGUCGAAGUAGUGUAUGUCAUACUUCCAAGAAAAGCUUGCACUGUCAUAAGUAAAAAAUGCCUGUACCAUAACCGACACAGGUGGGUAGGUAGAGUAUACUAAGGGGCGCGAGAUAACUCUCUCUAAGGAACUCGGCAAAAUGACUCCGUAACUUCGGGAGAAGGAGUGCCUUAUUUAUAAGGUUGCAAUAACAAGAUCCAAGCAACUGUUUAUCAAAAACACAGGUCUCCGCUAAGUCGUAAGACGAUGUAUGGGGGCUGACGCCUGCCCAGUGCCAGAAGGUUAAAGAAGUUGGUUAGUGUAUGCGAAGCUGAUGACUGAAGCCCUGGUGAACGGCGGCCGUAACAAUAACGGUCCUAAGGUAGCGAAAUUCCUUGUCGGGUAAGUUCCGACCCGCACGAAAGGCGUAAUGAUUUGGAUACUGUCUCGGAGAGAGGCUCGGUGAAAUAGACUUGUCUGUGAAGAUGCGGACUACCUGCACCAGGACAGAAAGACCCUAUGAAGCUUUACUGUAACUUGAAAUUGGAAUUGGACUUUGCUUGCGCAGUAUAGGUGGGAAGCGUUGAAGAUAUUCUUGCGGGAGUAUUGGAGCUAUCAGUGAGAUACCACUCUUGUAAUGUUAGAUUUCUAACUUUGAACCAUAAUCUGGUCAAAGAACAGUUUCAGGUGGGCAGUUUGACUGGGGCGGUCGCCUCCCAAAUGGUAACGGAGGCGUACAAAGGUUUCCUCUGAACGGAUAGAAAUCGUAUCUAGAGUGUAAAGGCAUAAGGAAGCUUGACUGUGAGACCUACAAGUCGAGCAGGGACGAAAGUCGGUCUUAGUGAUCUGACGGUACUGAGUGGAAAGGCCGUCACUCAACGGAUAAAAGUUACUCUAGGAUAACAGGCUGAUCUCCCCCAAGAGUUCACAUCGACGGGGAGGUUUGGCACCUCGAUGUCGGCUCAUCGCAUCCUGGGGCGGUAGUACGUCCCAAGGGUUGGGCUGUUCGCCCAUGAAAGCGGUACGCGAGCUGGGUUCAGAACGUCGUGAGACAGUUCGGUCCAUAUCCGGUGUAGGCGUUAGAAUAUUGAGAGGAGCCUUCUUUAGUACGAGAGGACCGAGAAGGACACACCGCUGGUGUACCAGUUAUCGUGCCAACGGUAAACGCUGGGUAGCUAUGUGUGGAGUGGAUAACCGCUGAAAGCAUCUAAGUGGGAAGCCCACCUCAAGAUGAGUAUUCAC
rnacentral:rRNA from 1 species